UACAGAGGUCUCAAGCGUUGUUCGGAAUCACUGGGCGUAAAGGGUGCGUAGGCCGCACGGUAAGUCAGAGGUGAAAUCCCGGAGCUCAACUCCGGAAUGGCCUCCGAUACUGCCGUGCUCGAGGACUGGAGAGGAGUCUGGAAUUCACAGUGGAGCAGUGAAAUGCGUAGAUAUUGUGAGGAACACUAGUGGCGAAGGCGAGACUCUGGACAGUUCCUGACGCUGAGGCACGAAGGCCAGGGGAGCAAACGGG
rnacentral:rRNA from 3 species